rnacentral:rRNA from 1 species
CCCGCACAAGCGGAGGAACAUGUGGUUUAAUUCGAUGAUACGCGAGGAACCUUACCAGGGUUUGACAUGCAAGUGGUAGGAAGCCGAAAGGUGACCGACCUUCGGGGAGCUUGUACAGGUGCUGCAUGGCUGUCGUCAGCUCGUGUCGUGAGAUGUUCGGUUAAGUCCGCUAACGAGCGCAACCCUCGCUGUGUGUUAUAUGUGUCACACGGGACUGCCGGUCUUAAGCCGGAGGAAGGUGGGAUGAUGUCAAGUCAGCAUGGCCUUUAUGUCCAGGGCUACACACGUGUUACAAUGGCCAGUACAAAGGGCAGCUACCGGGUGACCGGAUGCUAAUCUCUAAAGCUGGUCUCAGUUCGGAUCGAAGUCUGCAACCCGACUUCGUGAAGCUGGAUUCGCUAGUAAUCGCGCAUCAGCCAUGGCGCGGUGAAUACGUUCCCGGGCCUU